rnacentral:rRNA from 1 species
CCUACGGGAGGCAGCAGUGGGGAAUAUUGCUCAAUGGGCGAAAGCCUGAAGCAGCGACGCCGCGUGAGGGAUGACGGCCUUCGGGUUGUAAACCUCUUUCAGCAGGGACGAAGCGCAAGUGACGGUACCUGCAGAAGAAGCACCGGCCAACUACGUGCCAGCAGCCGCGGUAAUACGUAGGGUGCGAGCGUUGUCCGGAAUUAUUGGGCGUAAAGAGCUCGUAGGCGGUCUGUUGCGUCGGCUGUGAAAACUCGGGGCUCAACCCCGAGCCUGCAGCCGAUACGGGCAGACUAGAGUUCGGCAGGGGAGACUGGAAUUCCUGGUGUAGCGGUGAAAUGCGCAGAUAUCAGGAGGAACACCGGUGGCGAAGGCGGGUCUCUGGGCCGAUACUGACGCUGAGGAGCGAAAGCGUGGGGAGCGAACAGGAUUAGAUACCCUGGUAGUCCACGCCGUAAACGGUGGGCGCUAGGUGUGGGGGUCCUUCCACGGCCUCCGUGCCGCAGCUAACGCAUUAAGCGCCCCGCCUGGGGAGUACGGCCGCAAGGCUAAAACUCAAAGGAAUUGACGGGGGCCCGCACAAGCGGCGGAGCAUGUGGAUUAAUUCGAUGCAACGCGAAGAACCUUACCUGGGUUUGACAUGUACCGGAAACCUGCAGAGAUGUAGGCCCCGCAAGGUCGGUACACAGGUGGUGCAUGGCUGUCGUCCGCUCGUGUCGUGAGAUGUUUGGGUUAAGUCCGCAACGAGCGCAACCCUCGUCCUAUGUUGCCAGCGGUAAUGCCGGGGGACUCAUAGGAG